UGAACGCUGGCGGCGUGCUUAACACAUGCAAGUCGAACGAGAAAGGGAUUGCUUGCAAUCCUGAGUAGAGUGGCGCACGGGUGAGUAACACGUAGAUAAUCUACCUUCAAGCCUGGGAUAACUAUUCGAAAGGAUAGCUAAUACCGGAUAAAGUAUUUUAAUAUAAGUUAAACUAUGAAAGAUUGCCAAUUCAUGAAAGCAAUUGUUUGAAGAUGAGUUUGCGGACCAUUAGUUAGUUGGUGGGGUAACGGCCUACCAAGACGACGAUGGUUAGCUGGUCUGAGAGGAUGAUCAGCCACACUGGAACUGGUACACGGUCCAGACUCCUACGGGAGGCAGCAGUGAGGAAUUUUGCGCAAUGGGGGAAACCCUGACGCAGCAACGCCGCGUGAGUGAAGAAGGCCUUUGGGUCGUAAAGCUCUGUCGACAGGGAAGAAAUUGAAGUUAUCCAAUAGGUGAUUUCAUUGACGGUACCUGUAGAGGAAGCACCGGCUAACUCC
rnacentral:rRNA from 1 species